UACAGAGACUGCAAGCGUUAUUCGGAUUCACUGGGCGUAAAGGGCGCGUAGGCGGCGCGGGAAGUCCGUGGUGAAAGCCCGAGGCUCAACUUCGGGUCGGCCAUGGAUACUCCUGGGCUUGAGCACUGUAGAGGCAGGUGGAAUUCCGGGUGUAGCGGUGGAAUGCGUAGAGAUCCGGAAGAACACCGGUGGCGAAGGCGGCCUGGCUGGGCAGUAGCUGACGCUGAGGCGCGACAGCGUGGGGAGCAAACAGG
rnacentral:rRNA from 1 species